AUGCUGACUCAGUCUCCAGAGACCCUGGCAGCAUCUCAGGGAAGCUUUGUCUCCAUCACCUGUAGAAGCAGAAUGGAGGUAGGUACCUCCGUGGCCUGGUACCAACAGAAACCCAAUGAAGCUCCCAGGGUGCUCAUCUUUGAGGCAGCGGCUCUGGCUCUGUCUUCUCCCUCGCCAUCCAUGGACUGGAAACUAAAUACUUUGGGCACCCUGUGUGGGAGUCAAUCCCAGUCAGGAUGUAGCCUGGACAUGAGGGUCCCUGCUCAGCUCCUCAGCCUUCUGCUGCUCUGGCUCCCAGGUGCCAGGUGUGAGAUCCAGAUGACCCAGUCUCCAGCCUCCCUGUCUGCAUCUCUAGGAGACAGAGUCACCAUCACUUGCCAGGCCACUCAGGGCGUUAACACUUGGUUAGCCUGGUAUCAGCAGAAACCAGGGAAGGCUCUUAAGUUCCUGAUCAGUAAGGCAACCAUUUUGCACACUGGGGUCUCUUCGAGGUUCAGUGGCAGUGGAACUUGGACAGAUUUCACUCUCACCAUCAGCAGCCUGGAGCCUGAAGAUGCUGCAACUUAUUACUGUCAGCAGUAUAAGAGCAGCCCUCCCACAGUGUUACAAGCCAGAACAUAA